rnacentral:tRNA from 1 species
UCCCUAGUGGCUAGGUGGUAAAGAAUCUGCCUGCAAUAUGGGAGACCUAGGUUCGAUUCCUAGGUUGGGAA